UACGUAGGGGGCGAGCGUUAUCCGGAUUUAUUGGGUUUAAAGGGAGCGCAGGCGGAAGGUUAAGCGUGACGUGAAAUGUACCGGCUCAACCGGUGAGUAGCGUCGCGAACUGGCUUUCUUGAGUGAGUACGACGGAGGCGGAAUUCGUGGUGUAGCGGUGAAAUGCUUAGAUAUCACGAAGAACGCCGAUUGCGAAGGCAGCCUCCGAGUCCUUAACUGACGCUAAUGCUCGAAAGUGCGGGUAUCGAAC
rnacentral:rRNA from 1 species